CGCAUUUCCAGCAUAUCAGAGCGUCCCGAGCUCGGCUUUGCUUUUCCUAUGGCCGAAAACAGGCUUGAAGAAAAGCUUUUUCCUCACCUGAACUUGAGGCCAUCCUCUGAAACCCAAAGCCAUGGCUAAGGUUUGCCGGAUAAUGUCUCAUUUCACCCUCAGUAAUCGGAUCGAACACCGCAUUUCCGGUCUCCGGCGACGCAUCCUCCGCCUUCUCCACCACUUCUUGCUCUGUUCCGGAGGGAAGCCCUCCAAGUACCUCAUGCUACCACAUUUCGCCGAGCAUUCUCCUCCGUCUCUUCCGCCUUCCUCCGCCGGAGAGGCUACUCACGUCAAAUCGGGGCAGGGCUCGCUGCCUGAGUUUCACACCCCCGAAUCGGAUUCCGAUUUGGUUGCUCUCAAGCUCAGCCUCCUCGGGGACUGCCAAAUUGGAAAGACCAGUUUUCUGGUGAAAUAUAUAGGGAAUGAACAUGAUCAGAGAAGCCAAGAGAAGAAGGGAUUAAAUCAGAUGGAUAAAACUUUAGUCGUGGAAGGGGCACGUAUAUCGUAUUGUAUCUGGGAAGUAGAAGGAGGUGGUGGAAAGUCACAGCAUCAGAUUCCAUUGGCUUGCAAGGACUCCGUGGCAAUCUUGUACAUGUUUGAUCUAACAAGCCGAUGUACUUUAAACAGUGUGAUCGGGUGGUACAAAGAAGCCAGGAAAUGGAAUCAGACAGCAAUUCCAGUGAUGAUAGGAACCAAGUUUGAUGAUUUCAUUCAACUUCCCAUAGAUUUGCAGUGGACCAUCGCCAAUGAGGCAAGAAGAUACGCAAAGGCCAUGAAUGCAACACUGUUCUUUUCCAGUGCGACCUACAACAUCAACGUGAACAAGAUCUUCAAGUUCAUCACAGCCAAACUGUUCGACCUGCCAUGGACACUGGAACGGAAUCUCACUGUUGAAGUUGACAUUUACGGACCACAAGAAAGCAACAAAUUGCAAAUUCUGAUUCUGAAUGCACCCGUCUUUGCGGAAUCCUUACUGCAAUUAGGUGUAUGGCUAUGCAGAUUCCUCACUGCAAUAGCCGAAAGUCACAAGCAGUGCAAACUUUUAAAAAUACCCGACGAUGUGGAGAGAAAAUUUAUAUGGGCACGGGGCACGGCCUAGCCAUGGAUUUAUAAAUAUUGUGCUGUAUGUCGAAACUAAAAGCAGAGGACAAUUUCAGUGUGAAGAAUUCAAAGGGAAGCCUCCUGGAUAAGCUUGACUGUCUGUCACUGCUUAAAAGAUUUACCAAAUUUACUAUUCAUUCCGGCCACAGCCCCACAGACAAAUAACGGGGCAUGUUUACCUAAUUCUUGUGUUGCUCUCACGAAAUGAUCGAAAAAGCGGGAAAGAUUGAAAUAUGGCCAUACAACGGUUCAAAACUCCAUGGCAAGUUAUGGGCCCCAGCAGAUCCUGUUCUUUCUUCGGGAAAUCAUUUCUCAAACAUUAAAAAAAUAUUUAGUGGCUGACUUGGCUUCAUCAGAAUCCUUUAUCACAGAGGAGAGGAUGGCAAUCCUCUUCCAAUGGUGAAAUGAGUCGCAAUACCCGUCAUUGGAAUGCCACUUGCCCCUUAACAAUACAAUACGAAGACUGAAGUGAAGAAUAAAGCUGCCUUCCUUAGCCGAGGGAAAGAGACAUUAGAGAGGCUUCUUGGAGAAUGUUGCAAUCUUUCUACUUCACACUUAACUACCCAGCCUUCCUCGUCCGACCCUCCGCAAGUUGGCCACUAUCUCAAGAUUGGCAAGCCCCAUUUGACUUGUCUUUAGUGGCCUGGUUCAAUAAAAUUCAAUUGAGUAUUGUAUCAAAAAAAAAAAAAAAACUUUGUGGGAUUUAGUGGUAAUGCUGUGGUCUGACUGUAUAUUUGGGGUCUGACUAACUCUUUCCAAGUAUUAUUA